rnacentral:rRNA from 1 species
AUGGAGUCCUCCGCCUCCGGCGACGGCCCCUCUGCCACGACGGCUGCUGUUGCUGCGGCAGCAGCGGUGGCGUCGUCCUCAUCGGGCCCCUCCACCUCUGCCUCCGCCUUCUCCGCCGGUGUCUCGGGUGGGGCAAGCGCCACCCACUACCUCGCCAAGCGCGUGCUCCAUGGCAGCGCCGUGCAGCACGUCGCCCGGGGCCACUUCCGCUCGGAGCACCUUUGGGAGUUCGUCCUCUGCAAGGGAACUUCACUUGAAUUAGUUGUGGUUGGUGAGGAUGGUGUUUUACAGUCAAUCUGCGAGCAAAAUACAUUUGGGAUUGUAAAAGAUGUUGGUGUCUUGGACUGGCGCUUUAAACACUUCGGUAUCUGGCCUGAGAUUGAAGGGAAAGAAAUUCUGGUUCUACUCUCUGAUUCUGGAAAGCUUUCUCUUCUUUACUUCUGUUGUCAGAUGCAUAGGUUUAUUCCAAUUGGAAAUAUCGAGUUAUCUAAACCAGGAAAUAUGAGGGAUCAACUGGGAAGAAUUUUGGCUAUAGACCACGACUCUGCUUGGGUUGCUAUUAGUGCGUACGAGGAUGCAUUUGCUGUUGUGCGUGUUGGAAGGACUCAGCAUGUUUAUGGUCCAAAUAAAGAAAUUGUAGAGAAGGCAAAAAUCGUGCAUGCUGUAUAUAAGACCAGUGAUAUCCGCGGUACGGUUUGGAGCAUGUGCUUCAUGAGGACUCGCUGUUCGAUGGAUGAAUAUUACCCAGUUGUGGCAAUGAUAAUUAACAGGAAGGGCUCUGAUGCGAAUGACUUGUCAAUGUAUGCACUAGCUGCCAACGAUGGUGGCAUCCAGUACCUAUCUGGUUACUCAGAACCUGGACCUUUGGCGCUUGAGAUCGCUGAAAUUCCUCAGCUGGAUGGCUUUGGACUUCUAUUUCGUGCUGGUGAUAUUUUAAUUGUGGAUCUUAGGGACCCAAAGGACAUCUGUUGUACCAUUAGAAUAAGCAUGACAGGCAGUCUGGUUGGAGAACAAAUCAGUGUUGAAGAUUCAUGUCGAGGAUUAGAUGUUGAUGACGAUGUUGCUGCUUGUGCUUUGCUAGAACUGAGAGAUUCUGGAAAUAACAUAAUGAUGGACGACAGUUGCAUGGCUAUUGAUGGUGCUGAUAACCCAGGAAGCAUGAAAUCAAGGGUUAUUUGCUCAUGGAGCUGGGAGCCGGAUGCCAUGCGAGGACAACCGAGGCUGAUCUUUUGCUUGGAUGAUGGAGAAUUUCAUAUUCUGGAAUUUAAUUGGGAUACGGAAGGAUUGAAGGUAUUGCCUGAGCGUGUCCAUAGGGGUUUGCCUUGUAAACCUCUUUUAUGGAUGGACAGAGGAAUGAUAGCAGGGUUUGUAGAGAUGGGAGAUGGAAUGAUCCUUCAUCUUGAACAUGGUAGACUGGUGCAUAGAAGUACAGUUCAGAAUGUAGGACCAAUAUUGGAUUUAGCAAUUGCUGACUACCAUGGUGAGAAGCAGGAUCAGUUGUUUUCAUGUUGUGGAAUGUGCCCUGAGGGAUCAUUGCGUGUUAUAAGGAAUGGUGUCAAUGUGGAGAAACUUCUGAGGACUGAACCUAUUUAUCAGGGUGUUACUGGUUUGUGGACAUUGAGAAUGAAGAGAACUGAUACAUAUCACUCUUUUCUUGUAUUGGCAUUUGUUGAGGAAACAAGAAUACUAUCAGUUGGACUGAGUUUUAAUGACAUCAGUGAUGCUGUGGGAUUUCAGCCUGAGGUUUGCACUUUGGCAUGUGGUUUAAUAGCUGAUGGUUUACUUGUGCAAAUUCACAGCAAAGGUGUAAAGCUUUGUUUGCCUACAUCACAUGCUCACCCUGAGGGUGCCGCCUUAACUUCUCCAGUUUGUGUUGACUGGUAUCCUGAUGUCACUAUCAGUGUUGGUGCUGUUGGACAUGAUGUUGUUGCUGUUGCUACAUCAAAUCCUUGUUGCCUAUAUAUUCUCAGGGUCAGACCAUUAUCUUCACUCCAGUACGAGUUGUAUGAGACACAGCAUGUCCAAUUGCAAUAUGAAGUAUCUUGCAUAUCCAUUCCAGAGGAGGACUCGAGACUUAGAACGUCAUGUUCUGCUUUUGGUGGUGAUUUUAGGAAGAGAGAAGGGAAUAAUUCUGCUGCUGAAGUUGAUGUUCGCAUGUUUGCUGUCAUUGGAACUCAUAAACCUUCUGUGGAAGUCAUCUCAUUGGAACCUGAUGAAGCAUUUAGGUUGCUCUCUAUUGGGUCUAUAUCAGUGAACAAUGCGCUCGGUGCUCCAGUUAGUGGCUGUAUACCUGAAAAUGUUCGGUUUGUAGCAUCUGAGAGGUUCUACAUUCUCGCAGGUCUAAGAAAUGGCAUGCUACUCAGGUUUGAGUCAGGAACAAGCAAAGACCAGUAUCUCCCUGGUUCCUUUUACAAGGAGUCUUUUGCACCUUCUCUUAGUGCUCUCCUUCAGUUGGUUGCUAUAAGGCAUAUUGGAAUUACCCCUGUAGGCUUGGUACCAUUGCAUGAUUCAGCUAAUUCUGAUAUUAUUGUUCUCAGUGAUAGGUCUUGGCUAUUAUAUGCUAGUAGACACAGCUUGGCAUAUUCAUCCAUCUCAUUUCUGCCUGCGUCCCAUGUGACUCCAGUAUCUUCUGUGGAUUGCCCCAGCGGUCUGCUAUUUGUUGCAGAGAACUGUUUACAUUUGGUUGAAAUGGUUCAUGGCAAAAGAUUAAAUGCACAAAAGUUUUCAGUUGGAGGGACUCCAAGGAAAGUGCUAUACCACAGCGAUAGUAGAACACUGUUGGUUAUGAGAACUGGUUUAACUGGUGCAUCAUGUUCUUCAGAUAUUGUCCAAAUAGAUCCUAAUAAUGGGAUCUUGCUUUCCCGAUUCAAGUGUGAACUUGGUGAAACUGCAAAAUGCAUCCAGAUUGCGAAAAUAGGAAGUGAGCAAGUGUUAAUUGUUGGGACAAGUAAAUCUACUGACCGGCCAAUGAUGCCAAAUGGCGAAGCAGAAAGCAGUAUCAAAGGACGCCUAAUUGUUCUAAGUUUGGAUACUCUUGGAAGUCCUCAUGAGUGCAGUUCAUUUAUUCCGACUUCUAAUUUGAGUUCCUCUUCUCAUACGGGCUCAUUCCCUGAAAUUGUUGGAUAUGCAAAUGAAGAUUUCUCUAGCAACAGCAUGUGCAGCAGUCCUGAUGAUAUUUGCUACAAUCAGAUUCAAUUUGAACAAAUAGCAGGACACCUGAGAUCACUGACUCAUGUUACCUUCACUGGUGCAGUUCUUGCUGUAUAUCCAUAUCUAGAUCGAUAUGUGUUGGCAGCAGCUGGUAAUACGCUUUCUGUAUUUGGUUUUGUGAAUGAAAAUCCUCAUCGUAUGAAGAAGUAUGCCGUGAGUAGAACGCGAUUUACUAUUACUUGUUUGAAGACAUAUGGAUCACAGAUUGCAGCGGGCGAUUGUCGUGAUGGUGUUCUCUUCUGUUCUUAUCACGAGAAUCUUAGGAAGUUGGAACUUAUUUAUGCUGAUCCUGCUCAACGAUUGGUGGGUGAUGUUGUCCUCUUAGACUGUGAAACUGCUGUUGUGUCAGAUCGUCGUGGUAGCAUAUCUGUAUUAUCCUGCCCUGGACUGGAAGUUUCUGAAAGUCCAGAAAAGAACUUAGCUGUACAAUGUUCAUUUUUUAUGGGCGAAAUAGCUAUGAGCAUCCAGAAGGCUGCAUUUAAGUAUCGGCUCCCUAUUGGUGAUGAGACAGACCCAGUGUUGGAAUCAGCUUAUAACUGCGUUGUGGCGAGUACUUUGCUGGGGAGUGUUUUUGUUAUGAUUCCUCUCACCAGUGAGGAGCAUCAACUGUUGCAAGAUGUCCAAGAAAGACUUUCACUUCACCCGUUGACUGCUCCAAUCUUGGGAAAUGACCAUGCAGAGUUUCGUCGACGUGGUAUCCCGUCGGGAGUGCCUUCAAUUCUGGAUGGUGACAUGCUGGUGCAAUUCUUAGAGCUCACCAGUGAGCAACAGCAAACUGUUCUUGAUGAUGGAUCUUCAGUAAAGGCACCACGCAGGUCUAUCUCAGUUUUCCAGGUCAUGCGAAUGUUGGAGCGGGUCCACUAUGCGCUGAACUGA